rnacentral:lncRNA from 1 species
GACAAUAAUUUGUGGGCACACAAGGAUUUAAAUAGAGGAGCCUGCACAUGGCAGCAGAGUUUCAUACCAAGCAUUGGAAGUGAAGUUAUGUAGACUAAAAUAUCGAUUCAAAGAUUAAUUCAAUGAUACUAACCUUAUCAGUCAUUUGAAGAUACAAAUUUAUCCUAUGAGCAUUUGUGUACGCCUGCAAACAUGUGACAGUGUAUGUCUCUACCAAUAUAAUAUGUUGAGUUGUAUUAAUUGAAUUAUUUACCUUCAGGUGGCUGAGCUA